GCUGGCGGCGUGCCUAAUACAUGCAAGUCGAGCGAACAGAUAAGGAGCUUGCUCCUUUGACGUUAGCGGCGGACGGGUGAGUAACACGUGGGUAACCUACCUAUAAGACUGGAAUAACUCCGGGAAACCGGGGCUAAUGCCGGAUAACAUUUAGAACCGCAUGGUUCUAAAGUGAAAGAUGGUUUUGCUAUCACUUAUAGAUGGACCCGCGCCGUAUUAGCUAGUUGGUAAGGUNNUGGCUUACCAAGGCAACGAUACGUAGCCGACCUGAGAGGGUGAUCGGCCACACUGGAACUGAGACACGGUCCAGACUCCUACGGGAGGCAGCAGUAGGGAAUCUUCCGCAAUGGGCGAAAGCCUGACGGAGCAACGCCGCGUGAGUGAUGAAGGUCUUCGGAUCGUAAAACUCUGUUAUUAGGGAAGAACAAAUGUGUAAGUAACUGUGCACG
rnacentral:rRNA from 2 species